GGAACCUUGUAUGGGAAAUAGGAACAGUGUUGUCCACAUGUUACACGUGUGGAAGGGGUGUCGUAUAGCGAGUCAACAAUUCUCCUCAUGUGCUCCUCACAAUAGGUAACUGUAACUGCAAUUUUCUUGGCGUACAAACCAACUAAUUUAAAAGUGAAGCUCUUUGUGUGACUGAAUGUUUCCUGCCAUUAAAGUAAUGAAGAUUUUGGAAAGACAUCAUCAAAGCAAAAAUAGGAAAAUC